GACGGCGCCCACCGGCGGCUGUCCCGGAGAGUAUUUCAACGGGCCUCCCUGGCUGUGUGUUGGGCCACUACCAUCUUGAGACAAGUAAAUACACCUCCUAUCACAGAAAGUUCAGGCACUUUUCAGCCUGCUGCUUCUGCGCUGGACCCUGGGGCCAGUGAGUUCAGGACCACCAGUACAAAAUUGGAUUGAAGUAGCGAGAGAAGACAUCUUUGCCUUGUUCCCGAUUUAGGAGGUCAUGAAUAUUUUGAAUUCUAUGUCAGUUGCCAUUUCUUUAGGG